UCCUUUUCCACGAGAUCCCGGACAGAUCAGAUCAAACCUCGUCCGCACGCGCCACACCCCUUCGCGCGGACAACGGAGAAGCGAGGAACGCACAGCCGAUGAGGCCUCUGCGCGCCGUCGCUCUGCUCCUCGUCGCGGCGGCAGCAGCCGCGGCCGCCGCGACGCCGUGGGCGGGGAGCGGCCAGGAGUCCGGCUCCAUCAGCAAAGACGACUUCCCUGGGGACUUCAGCUUCGGGGCUAGCACAUCAGCUUAUCAGUGGGAAGGCGCGGCGGCGGAGGACGGCCGGACCCCCAGCGUGUGGGACACCUUCGCUCACGCUCACGCCCACGCCCACGCCGGAUCGGGGCCAUGGUGGAAAUCGAAAGAAGUGGACCAUGUGGACUAUGCCUCAUUGCUUAUAAGUUCUGCAAUACAGGUGAUGACUCUGUAAAUGGUGAUGUGGCAGCUGACGGCUACCAUAAGUACAAGGAGGAUAUCAAAUUAAUGAAGGAGACCGGACUGGAUUCUUAUAGAUUCUCUAUCUCUUGGUCAAGGCUUAUUCCUAAAGGAAGAGGAGAAAUCAAUCCAAAAGGAGUAGGAUACUACAAUAAUCUCAUCAAUGAACUACUUGAUCAUGGAAUUCAACCACAUGCAACGAUUUUCCAGUAUGAUCUUCCUCAAAUCCUUGAAGAUGAAUAUGGUGGAUGGUUGAGUCCCCAAAUAAUUGGUGAUUUCACAGCAUACGCAGAUGUGUGCUUUAGGGAAUUUGGGGAUAGAGUUACCAAUUGGACUACUCUAAAUGAACCUAACGCUUUAGUUUCGGUUGGCUAUGAUGCUGGUAUUGGGCCACCGGGGAGAUGUUCUAAACCAUUUGGAUUUGCUGACUGUUCCUGUGGGGACUCUGUAAACGAGCCAUACGUUGUAGCUCAUAAUUGCUUAUUGGCUCAUACCUCAGCUGUGUCACUAUACAGAAGAAAGUAUCAGACAAAGCAACACGGACUUAUUGGCAUGAAUAUAUGUAUAAAUAACAUAGUACCUUAUACAAAUUCAACGGAAGAUAUAGCUGCAGCGAAAAGAGCACAAGCCUUCUACACAGGCUGGUUCUUGGAUCCUCUCUAUUAUGGAGACUACCCACUUGUGAUGAAGGAGAAUACUGGCUCCAAGUUGCCAAAAUUUUCUCAAAGCCAGUCUAAACAACUAAUCAAUUCUAUGGACUUUCUUGGCAUCAAUUACUACACAUUUUUGUACGUGAAGGAUGACCCGCAUCAUGCUCCUAGCAACAAAAGGAAUUUCAGGGCUGAUAUGGCUGCUAAAUCAAUAUUUUCAAGCAAUUCUACCAGUGGAUUCUAUGUGCCAGGUUAUGGGAUACAGCAAGUGCUUGAACAUUUGAAGCAAUUUUAUGGUAAUCCUCCAAUCUAUAUCCAUGAGAAUGGAUAUCCAAUGCAUCAAGAUGUAGUAUUUGAUGAUGGCCCUAGGGUGGAAUUCUUGAGUGAACAUCUUAAGAACCUUCUCACUGCUGUCAGGAAUGGUUCGAAUACUAGGGGCUACUUUGCCUGGUCGCUGAUGGAUUUAUAUGAACUACUUAGUGUCGGGGACACGUAUGGACUCUAUUACGUGGAUUUUGCUGAUGAUGAUCUCAAGAGGUAUCCAAGGAGCUCUGCGAUUUGGUACAAGGAUUUUCUCAAGGGGAGGCACACGGAGACGGGGAGAUUCUCCGAUCACUAGCUCGGGUAGACUGCGCUAGGUGUUUUCCGUAGGUUAAACUGUUCCGUCCCCCCACGUUAUUCCAAACACAUGAAAGUGGCCGAUGCGGAGUGAGACGGAAGACUAUAAUUUUAUACCAGGUUACUACUGUAGAUGUUUCCUAUCUACAGCAUCUCAUCUUUAGCGCACAAAUAUGUCAUUGCGCAGGCUACUCGACAUCAUACGAUGCUUCUUCUUUUUUAAGCCAAGACCGUAGAACAAUUGUUCUACGGUAAUUUUUCAUUAUAUAAAUAUGUACAAUUACAGGAAAAAAUAAAUAAAGACUCGUUC
rnacentral:rRNA from 1 species